rnacentral:rRNA from 1 species
UACGGGGGGGGUAAGCGUUGUUCGGAAUUACUGGGCGUAAAGGGCUCGUAGGCGGCCAACUAAGUCAGACGUGAAAUCCCUCAGCUUAACUGGGGAACUGCGUCUGAUACUGGAUGGCUUGGAUUCGGGAGAGGAAUGCGGAAUUCCAGGUGUAGCAGUGAAAUGCGUAGAUAUCUGGAGGAACACCGGUGGCGAAGGCGGCAUUCUGGACCGACAUUGACGCUGAGGAGCGAAAGCCAGGGGAGCAAACGGG